AGGGCAGCAUCCCACCUAGCCCCAGCUUUAUUCUCUUGUCUGUCUUUUCUAAUCCUUCACCGCCCCCCCAUUCCCUCACCCCCCACCUCCCUUGCCUCAGGUUCACCUAUGGCUGUGCUGGUGCGGCACAGAGAAGGUCUGUCUACGCAAUGAACCUACUCAAGACUUCACCGACUGGCGAGGUGAUGAAAACAAGAAUCUUCAGUCCCUGCUGUCCCUAAGGCCCUACCUCAGUUCCUCCAAGAUAACUCAGGUGUCCUUGCAUCUCCCCUGAUUCCAGCACACAGGACACUCUUUACUCUCCCCAAUGUCAUCUAGCAAGACCCGGCCGACCUGUCUGGAACUGAGCAUCCGGAACCACUUGUGUGCAUCACAUGCAAUUUCCAGCUGUUGUGGGAAAGCAAUGAAUGAAGAGAAAGUACUAGGCCCUGACAAGGCUUAGCAUCUAGGGAAGGAGGGGGAGAAGUAGGGAGAAGAUCCUAAAGGUCAAAUGCAAUGUCUCCCAUUGUUCAUGUACCUUUUCAAAAAGAGACAAUUCCAUUUGAUCCACUAAUACAGUGGUUCUCAACCUUCCUAAUGCCGCGACCCUCUAAUACAGUUCCUCAUGUUGUGGUGACUCCCAAUUUCAUUGUUACAAAUUGAACAUAAUUAAAGCAUAGUGAUUAAUCAGAAAAACAAUAUGUAAUUAUAUAUGUGUUUUCCGAUGGUCUUAGGCGACCCCUGUGAAAGGGUUGUUCGACCCCCAAAGAGGUCGGUUGCGACCCACAGGUUGAGAACCGCUGCACUAAUAUCUUUAGAAAACUUUGACCUUCUGCAAAAAGAAGGAAACUAAAAUUAUAGCCUUGCCUGUAGCUUGGAUGCUUUAUAAACACGGCACCACAGUGAGGCAAUCUAGAUAGAGUGCCAAACCAAAGCAGAGCUAAGAGUGGGAAUUUUAUACCAUUAACACAAAAGGUUAGGGGGCCAGGUUGAAUUUGGACAAAAUCACAUAGGAUCUUGAGUCCAGAGCAUUUUCUAACAGUGAAUUUCAAUAAGAAGUUUUGGGAAAUACCUCAGUCUUGUAUUGGACGCAGGGCAAAGAUC